UUUGGUUUAUUGUACAUGCUUUAUUAAAACGGUACUCGUAUUUACAGCAUUGCAGGAAGAGUCCCUCCCAAGGUGCUCUCACAGACAUCCAGACUCACUCACACAGACAUUCAUACCGCUCGGCCCCACUCACUCACACCAGUGACAUGUGAGGGUCAGACCCCUAAAAUUUAGGCAGCUGUUGGGGAAGAACUGUUGGUUUUCAAUCUUUCUUAGAAAAGAAAAAAGCACAGGGAUGCACUUGGCCAUCACGAUGCUAGCGAUGUUUGUGCACUAACUCAUGGCAGUUAACACUGAGAACUCCUCCUCCACUCCACACACAGUGACAUCAGCCUCAGUCUCAGUGCUGCUUGUACUGACUUCUCAAUUCACAGGGGCUUUCCCAAAAAGUAAUUCAAGUUUAUGGAAGUGAAAUAAGGCACAAUUAAUAUUGUUUUGACCUAGCGGAAGGAAGGGAAAGAAAUAAAACUGGUUUCAAAUUAUCUUAGCUGGGAACUGUUGACUUUAAUCUACUGGAAAUCCUUCUUUCAAAUCUUAGAAGGACAUUUUUCCCUCUUCCCUGACAAAGCCCCGAAAGAAAAGUUUGGGAAUUCACGUUUAAAUGUUUCAGUAGCCUGAACUUCUUAAAUGAAUAUGUGACCCCCUUUCCCCUGCCCAGGGCUCU
rnacentral:lncRNA from 1 species